rnacentral:RNase_P_RNA from 1 species
UCGCUGCUAUCAAAACAAUAAAGUUUUGAUAGGAGAGGAAAGUCUGGACUUCAAAGAAAAAGGUGCCAGCGAAAGGCUGGGAGUCGUAAGACUACGGAAAGUGUAACAGAAAACAGGCCGCUAGUGAAUCAUCACUAGACAGGAUGAAAAUGUUAAGCUUAAGGCUUAACCCCUUAGUAGAAAUAUUAAGGCGCUACAAACCCCACCUGAAGCAAGAAAAGAGCUCAAACUGUUUUUCGCAACGGAGCUCUUUUAAGGUCGCUUGAGAGUCUUAGUAAUAAGGCUCCUAGAUGAAUGAUGG